AGUGCUCCGGACUGGAGAGCCCAGGCUGAGAUGGUGUUAAAUGCUUUCACUACGUGAGUGCCUGGCACCAGCUGAGCAAGGUCUGUUAACAGGAAAUACAACAAGAUUACCCCCUGGAUUGGAAAAUCAUUCAAAGGCUCUUUGAGCUGAAGGCCAAGACAGACCCCACCCCAGGCCCAGGGAACCCAAGACAGCAUUCUUCUGGGAUGUUCCAAUGAGGCCUCUCAUGAGGAAGUUAGGGCUUGUAUGGCUUGUGCAUUUCAGUUCCAUCACCUCCCAGAAGUCAGAGAUUAGAGAAGGUCCGACCACUUCCAAUUUAAGAGGAUUCUAGCAUAUUAAAAAUAUGGAAAUGUACC